rnacentral:lncRNA from 1 species
GGCGAGCGUGCACAUCGGCACAGGAAGGAAGGAGGAGAAGAGAGGAAGGGGAGGAGGCUUACCUCCGACGCCAACGAGAUUUUUUCGACGAGCAAAUUGGAUGGGCACAGGUCGGUCUUCCGCGGAAAUUUUUCGGCGAUUGUCACCGACUGGGCUUAGAAUCCUCGGUGAAAGGAAGAGAGGAGGGAUCUCCUCCUUAAAUAGAGCCGGAGGGAGC